rnacentral:rRNA from 1 species
ACACGACUACAUUAGAUACCCCGGUAGUCCAGGGUGUAAACGCUGCGGGCUUGGUGUUGGGGGUCCUUUGAGGGCGCCCAGUGCCGGAGAGAAGUUGUUAAGCCUGUUGCUUGGGGAGUACGUCCGCAAGGAUGAAACUUAAAGGAAUUGGCGGGGGAGCACCGCAACGGGAGGAGCGUGCGGUUCAAUUGGAUUCAACGCCGGACAACUCACCAGGAGCGACGGUUACAUGAAGGCCAGGCUGAUGACCUUGCCUGAUUUUCCG